rnacentral:rRNA from 1 species
UACAGAGGGUGCAAGCGUUGUUCGGAAUUACUGGGCGUAAAGUGUGCGCAGGCGGCCGAGCAAGUCGAGUGUGAAAGCCCCGAGCUUAACUUGGGAACUGCGCUCGAAACUACUUGGCUAGAGUGUGGCAGAGGGAGGUGGAAUUCCACGUGUAGCGGUGAAAUGCGUAGAGAUGUGGAGGAACACCGAUGGCGAAGGCAGCCUCCUGGGCCAACACUGACGCUCAUGCACGAAAGCGUGGGGAGCAAACAGG